GGCUAUAUCACAUUGAAACACUGGUCCCUGUACAAUCACUGAAGUUAAGCAACUUUGAUCCUGGUCAGUACCUAGAUAGGUGACCACUUGAGAAUACCAGGUGCCGUAAG